CUACGUGCCAGCAGCCGCGGUAAUACGUAGGGUGCGAGCGUUAAUCGGAAUUACUGGGCGUAAAGCGAGCGCAGACGGUUACUUAAGCAGGAUGUGAAAUCCCCGGGCUCAACCUGGGAACUGCGUUCUGAACUGGGUGACUAGAGUGUGUCAGAGGGAGGUAGAAUUCCACGUGUAGCAGUGAAAUGCGUAGAGAUGUGGAGGAAUACCGAUGGCGAAGGCAGCCUCCUGGGAUAACACUGACGUUCAUGCUCGAAAGCGUGGGUAGCAAACAGGAUUAGAUACCCUGGUAGUCCACGCCCUAAACGAUGUCAAUUAGCUGUUGGGCAACUUGAUUGCUUAGUAGCGUAGCUAACGCGUGAAAUUGACCGCCUGGGGAGUACGGUCGCAAGAUUAAAACUCAAAGGAAUUGACGGGGACCCGCACAAGCGGUGGAUGAUGUGGAUUAAUUCGAUGCAACGCGAAGAACCUUACCUACUCUUGACAUCCACGGAACUUUUCAGAGA
rnacentral:rRNA from 1 species